rnacentral:rRNA from 1 species
UACGGAGGGGGCUAGCGUUGUUCGGAAUUACUGGGCGCAAAGCGCACGUAGGCGGCUUUGCAAGUUAGAGGUGAAAGCCCGGGGCUCAACUCCGGAAUUGCCUUUAAAACUGCAUCGCUAGAAUUGUGGAGAGGUAAGUGGAAUUCCGAGUGUAGAGGUGAAAUUCGUAGAUAUUCGGAAGAACACCAGUGGCGAAGGCGGCUCACUGGCCCGGUACUGACGCUGAGGUGCGAAAGCGUGGGGAGCAAACAGG